UGAGAGUGGUGCCUGUGGGUGGUGGCAGUGUGCAGAGCUAGGAGCUGAGGGUAGCACAUGUUGCCACUUUUGGGGAGGCCCCCCCCAAGGUAAGCACCACCCACAGCCCUCAUACCCUCCCAUGCCCCAGCCCUGAGGCCCCUCCCACACCCGAACUCCUGGUGCUGCUAGGCGGGGGGUGGCCCAAAACUGCCCCAGUAGCAGCCCAUACAGCUGGCCCAGGGGCUGCCCGAGCUGCUCAGGUGGCUCUCGGGACAGCCACACAGGCUGCUGCAGAAGUCACGGAGUUCCUGGAAAGUCUCAGAAUUCAUGACCACCAGGACAAACUUGCAGCCUUAGUCAUGGAUAAUCCUAACAUGACUAGUGUUGCCCAUUUGUAGUAGCAGAUAUUGGAACCUUGCAGCAGGUUAGUCUCCCACUUGAAGGGAAUUUGGUGACAUGGAGUCAAGGUAUUUUCUGUGUAAUUUACUAACUUACAAAAUGUGCAAAAGUCCUGUUUAUCUUGAGCAGAGAUAACCAAAAUUGCAACAACCUCAGCCACUACUGCCCUGUCACCAAGCAGCAGCUCCCUUCUUGGCACUAAUUUACUUAGCACACUCUCUGUUCUCGCAUAAGCCUGAGUCUUUUAUCUGGGACACCCUUAGUCCAAAGCUGCUUGCCCUGGACUGCAUGAUCUAGCAAGAGGAGCCUUGGCAUGAACUCUUUUUGUUCUGAAGCUCUGCACCACAAAGGAAGCGCAGACAUGUUUGGAUGGAACCAGCUCCUUGCCAGUUUCCUUCUUGGAGGCUCUAGGGUUAAUUAUAACCAGCUAACACAUUUUUAAACAUGACUACCUUUGUCUACACUAGUGGUCAAGUGAUGUAUAACAUCAUAUUAAAACAUAUUAGUUAAACAAAGCCAACAGAAGAUUUCCUCCUUACAUACUGUAUGUGUGCAGCACAAGUACACAAACCUACUCCGUUACCAUUAUCAGCACUAAUGAGCUCACCUUUGAAGAGCUCAGAGAGGAAACAGAGUCCCUGUACCCAGAAGCUCACAGUAUGUUCUGGAAAAAGGGUGUCUAUUAAGGUCUUGUCUAUAUUAUAGAGUUUUGUCAACAAAAGUCAGCUUUCAUCAACAGAACAGUGGAGAUACACACACUAUAAUGCUCCUUCCACCGACAAAACUCUCCUGCUUUGCCAACAAAAUAAAACCACCUCGACGAGAGGCGCAGAGCUUUUUGCAGCAAAAUAUCAACAAAGUGUCAAUGUAGACACUGUGCUUGGUUAUGUCGCUGUAAAUGGCCUCCAGGAGGUGUCCCGCAAUGCCCAUUCUGACCGCUCUGGUCAGCAGUUUGAACUCUGCUGCCCUGCACCUGGGAAUUUCUGAAAUUCCAUUUCCUGUUUGCUCAGUAUGGACAGCUCACAUUGCAUUUUCCCAGCUGACUAUGGCAUCACCACGCAGCAAAUGCUCUCCCGCUCAGAGUACACCCGAGGUGUUGGAUCUGCUGGCACUGUGGGGAGGAGGCUUUGCAGUCCCAGCUACGCUCCAGCUGUAGGAACUUCAAUAUCUAUGAUCAGAUUUCUUGUGGCAUGUUGGAUAAGGGCUACGAACGGGACACGCAUCAGUGCCAUGUGAAGAUAAAGGAGCUGAGGCAAGCACACCAGAAGGCAAGAGAGUCAAAUUGUUGCUCUGGUGCUGCCCGAAGACUUGCCGCUUCUAUAAGGAGCUGGAUGCCAUCCUUGGCAGUGACCCCAAUUCCUCUGCCACAAGCCAUGUGGAUACUUUGGUGGGGCUGGAGAUUCAACCCUGAGGAUGAAGUCAUGGACAAAGAGGUUAAGUUGGAGGACGAUGUGGAGCACACAGCAGGACCUCUCUUCCACUCCAGAGGGGUCGAGCCUGUCCCAGCAGUCCAUCUCUGGCAUGCAUGAAGCAGGAGAGGGGAGCUCUGAUGUGGCCUUCAGAGGAACACUCUACACACCAGCAGAGCAUCUCUACCAGAUAAGUAUCAGAGGGGUAGCCAUGUUAGUCUGUAUCCACACAAAAACGAGGAGUCCAGUGGCACCUUAAAGACUAAUAGAUUUAUUUGGGCAUAAGCUUUCACGGGUUAAAAAAACAUUUCUUCAGCUGCAUCUGAAGAUGUGGUGUUUUUACCCACAAAAGCUUAUGCCCAAAUAAAUCUGUUAGUCUUUAAGGUGCCACCAGACUCCUCACUGUCUACCAGAUAAGGAAGCGAGCAAGGAAGACAUGUUUCAAGAGGUGUUCCAAUCCUCAGAGGCCAAAAACCAAGAAUGCAGGGCAUGGAAAGAGAGUUUAAAAGAAAAUUAUAAAACAGGACAGCAAGGAGAGCCAGGAGUGAAUUUUAAUAGGCCAGGAGCGGAUGAUAAAAAUGAUGGAGGAGCAAACUGAGAUGUUAAAUGUCUAAUCAUGCUGCUUGCAGAAUUAAUGCAUACUCGUCCCUCCAGCCCCCCACAGCUGAUACAGAACUGCUUUCCAUGCCAUCCCCAAACUCCUCCCACACAUUCCUUGCAACUUUCCAGCCCUACUCAGUAACCCAUUCACUCCACCCCUUCGGACAGCUUCCAAAAUGACAGCUGGACUUACAGACAGCAAUAAGAGUCUACACUGCCCAUCGUUGUUAUCUCCCUUUUCACCAACCCUUUUGUGUGUAUUGUUAAUCGGUAUUUAAUAAAAACAUGCUCUCUGAAAGAUA